CACGUAGUUUGCCGGGGCUUUCUUACGAGGUACCGUCAUUCUUCGUCCCUCGCGACAGAAGUUUACAAUCCGAAAACCUUCAUCCUUCACGCGGCGUUGCUGGGUCAGAGUUUCCUCCAUUGCCCAAUAUUCCCCACUGCUGCCUCCCGUAGGAGUUUGGACCGUUUCUCAGUUCCAAUGUGGCCGAUCACCCUCUCAGGUCGGCUACCCAUCGUCGCCUCGGUAGGCCGUUACCCUACCAACUAGCUAAUGGGACGCGAGCCCAUCUUUAUCCGUAUAUGCUUUUACCCCUGUCGGAUGCCCGACUGUGGUCUUAUGCGGUAUUAGCACCUAUUUCUAAGUGUUAUCCCCCUGAUAAAGGCAGGUUGCUCACGCGUUACUCACCCGUCCGCCGCUAACGUAUUGCUACGUCCGCUCGACUUGCAUGUGUUAAGCACGCCGCCAGCGUUCGUCCUGAGCCAGGAUCAAACUCU
rnacentral:rRNA from 1 species